rnacentral:lncRNA from 1 species
CCACUGUACACUACAGAGAUUUCGUGGAAAUCGUGAAAGCUGAAGCCCCACCUGAUAUGAGCUGUCCCUGCAGUCAGCAGGGCCACCCUGACCUAAACCAGGUGUUUGCAGGCUUUGCAAGACAGUGGAACUCUGAUGAUGGAUCCUGAAGCACAAGUUGGAGCCUAGAAAAGGAGGUUGAGAUAUGAAAACAUCAACCAUGGAAAUGCAGUGAUCAGAAUAAAAAGAGUCCAAGGGAGAGGUUCUCUCUAUAUAAGUGAACGCUUCUGUUGUUCCCUGUUGUGGUGUCCAAUAAGCACAGCCACUCGUGGUUUCUCAGGUCCCUCAGAGCACUUAUCCAGUCUCAUUUUAGCUCCUGCCUCAAGGUUUUGUGGACGCAUCUGCAUGAUUUCUACAAAUCCUAUUACACCUUAUACGUGGAGAAAUGAGGACACAGAUGUCUUGGCACAGGAUUUGCACUGAAGAAUCACAGCUCAGUAUUAUUGGUCUUUUCCUUCCUCUCACUGCUGGGCUGCUCAUGUUCAAGAGCCGGAUGGUCACAGGCCUUAUAAGCUUCUUUUCUUAACCUGACUGCCCACGGAAAUGAGGUAUUUGCAACACUGCUUUUCAUCUGGUGGUGAGGUUUGUUUUG